ACUGGUAAUCUAGAGUGGGGGAGAGGCAGAUGGAAUUGGUGGUGUAGGGGUAAAAUCCGUAGAUAUCACCAAGAAUACCCAUUGCGAAGGCGAUCUGCUGGAACUUAACUGACGCUAAGGCGCGAAAGCGUGGGGAGCAAACAGGAUUAGAUACCCUGGUAGUCCACGCCCUAAACGAUGUAUGCUAGUUGUUGGGGUGCUAGUCAUCUCAGUAAUGCAGCUAACGCAUUAAGCAUACCGCCUGGGGAGUACGGUCGCAAGAUUAAAACUCAAAGGAAUAGACGGGGACCCGCACAAGCGGUGGAGCAUGUGGUUUAAUUCGAAGAUACGCGAAGAACCUUACCUGGGCUUGAUAUCCUAAGAACCUUAUAGAGAUAUGAGGGUGCUAGCUUGCUAGAACUUAGAGACAGGUGCUGCACGGCUGUCGUCAGCUCGUGUCGUGAGAUGUUGGGUUAAGUCCCGCAACGAGCGCAACCCACGUAUUUAGUUGCUAACACUUCGGGUGAGCACUCUAAAUAGACUGCCUUCGUAAGGAGGAGGAAGGUGUGGACGACGUCAAGUCAUCAUGGCCCUUAUGCCCAGGGCGACACACGUGCUACAAUGGCAUAUACAAUGAGACGCAAUACCGCGAGGUGGAGCAAAUCUAUAAAAUAUGUCCCAGUUCGGAUUGUUCUCUGCAACUCGAGAGCAUGAAGCCGGAAUCGCUAGUAAUCGUAGAUCAGCCAUGCUACGGUGAAUACGUUCCCGGGUCUUGUACUCACCGCCCGUCACACCAUGGGAGUUGAUUUCACUCGAAGCCGGAAUACUAAACUAGUUACCGUCCACAGUGGAAUCAGCGACUGGGGUGAAGUCGUAACAAGGUAACCGUAGGAGAACCUGCGGUUGGAUCACCUCCUUUCUA
rnacentral:rRNA from 1 species